rnacentral:lncRNA from 1 species
CCUUCCCUGUGCACUUAUGCAUGGAGCCCUUCCCACACCGCUAUGUGCUGGGGGCUUCCCUCGGUGACUACACCUCCUACCUGUCCAGGAGUCCCUGAUACACUCAGCAUCCCCAGAAUGGACCACUCCUGCAAGUUCCCAGGCCGAGAACAAGACCAGCUACAGAGAGGCGGGAACAGACUCUGAGGAAGGAGGCUGUACUUAUGCAGAGCCGCUUCAGACCACAGGAGGUCCGAUCACUGAAGCAGCACAGGAGCAGCCUGCGCAAGGCCAGGAUAAUAAGAAGACCUGUUGGUGGGACUGAGCAAAUGAUUCGUCUUCUGGAAGCUGAGCACUGGGCUCACAGCGGGAUUUCGUUGGGGAGGCAGAGGUCUCUGGGCUUUGCACCCAGACAAGCCUUGGGGAAGCUGAGAGGACAGUCAGAGUCAGACAGAAAGCAAGCCCAACCCAUUCUCUAGAAGCAAAAUGUCCCAAUGAGGCAUAGUGGCCACUGGGAGGACUCUGAGGCCCACAGUACCGAGAGAAGAGAGCUGAGAUGUGGAUGUGGCCUUAGGGAUGACAUCGUUUCAUGCCACCCCAGGGAAGAGCUAGGCCACUCACUGGGAAGGGUGGUGGCNGGGGGGGCGCGGGGGGGGGGGGGGGGGGGGGGGGGGGGGGGGGGGGGGGGCUCUAGCAGAACCCGUGCUAGACCCUUCUGCGUUGGUGGCAUUUUGGUCUGCUUGUUUUUGGAUAUGGAUAUUUUCAGGGUGCUUGGGCCUCCACUGUUGCACGGUAAGGGCAACAGGCCCAGAAGAACCCUCCUCAGAGGCCACCAAACAAACAGCAGGAUGUCACGCACUCCUGGCCAGUGGUGAGGAUGGGGAGUAUUUUCAGACUUGUUCUAAAAAUUGGCACCAGCCAUGACAACAAUGACAAUGACAAUAAUCAUAACUCUCAUUCACUGAGCUCAGACCUGGGGCCAGGCUUGAACCUAGGACACACUGACAUCUUCUAAUUCCUGUUCCAGAGUUGGAGGGAAGUUCUGGCACAGCCCUUGAGCUAUUAUGAGGGUCGGUAGCUCAUCAGGCUCUCACAGCCCAUGGGGGGAGCAGCCUAGUGGCUCUGACACCAGGCAACAGCAGCCACUCUUGCCUCACAUGUGGGUCUGAGACCUGCCAUGAGGUUGGCCAAUAGUGUAUCAAUAACUGGUCACUCCUGCC